AGUGAACGCUGGCGGUAGGCCUAACACAUGCAAGUCGAACGGCAGCACAGUAAGAGCUUGCUAUUACGGGUGGCGAGUGGCGGACGGGUGAGGAAUACAUCGGAAUCUACUUUUUCGUGGGGGAUAACGUAGGGAAACUUAUGCUAACACCGCAUACGACCUACGGGUGAAAGCAGGGGAUCUUCGGACCUUGCGCGAUUGCAUGAGCCGAUGUCGGAUUUGCUAGUUGGCGGGGUAAAGGCCCACCAAGGCGACUAUCCGUAGCUGGUCUGCGAGGAUGAACGGCCACUCUGGAACUAGGACACGGUCCAGACUCCUACGGGGGGCAGCAGUGGGGAAUAUUGGACAAUGGGCGCAAGCCUGAUCCAGCCAUACCGCGUGGGUGAAGAAGGCCUUCGGGUUUUAAAGCCCUUUUGUUGGGAAAGAAAAGCAGCAGGUUAAUACCCCGCUGUUCUGACGGUACCCAAAGAAUAAGCACCGGCUAACUUCGUG
rnacentral:rRNA from 1 species